GGGCAUGAGUGGCGGUAGUCCUGGUAUGGUGGGAAUGAACGUCGGUGGUGGAGGUGGAUUGCCAGGAAUGAGUGUCGGUGCUGAAGGUGGAAUGGCAGGAAGACAGAAUUCGAGAAAAUAGAGAGUCCAAAGCUGGAAUAACGGAAUUGAUGGAAAUAUCUGAAUAUGCUGGAAAGGUCCAGCAGCAUUCUUCAUAUCUACAACGGGAACAAGACUGUUGUGCUCAAGAACAUCCACUGAUCCAGUCUAUUCAGCGCGUGAUGGUGG